GAGUUUGAUCCUGGCUCAGAUUGAACGCUGGCGGCAUGCCUUACACAUGCAAGUCGAACGGCAGCGCGGGAGCAAUCCUGGCGGCGAGUGGCGAACGGGUGAGUAAUAUAUCGGAACGUGCCCAGUAGUGGGGGAUAGCCCGGCGAAAGCCGGAUUAAUACCGCAUACGACCUGAGGGUGAAAGCGGGGGAUCGCAAGACCUCGCGCUACUGGAGCGGCCGAUAUCAGAUUAGCUAGUUGGUGGGGUAAAGGCCUACCAAGGCAACGAUCUGUAGUUGGUCUGAGAGGACGACCAGCCACACUGGGACUGAGACACGGCCCAGACUCCUACGGGAGGCAGCAGUGGGGAAUUUUGGACAAUGGGCGCAAGCCUGAUCCAGCAAUGCCGCGUGCAGGAAGAAGGCCUUCGGGUUGUAAACUGCUUUAGUCAGGGAAGAAAUCUUCUGGGCUAAUACCCCGGGAGGAUGACGGUACCUGAAGAAUAA
rnacentral:rRNA from 1 species